GGCUUUUCUGGAGCCUUCCUCUUCGGCGCCGCCUUGGCCUUAGCAGGAGCCACAGCCUUUGCCUUAGCAGCCGGCUUAGUUUUGGCAGCUGGCUUCGCCUUCGCCGCGGGCUUAGGUUUCGCAGCGGCGGACGCCUUAGGUUUUGCAGCUGCCGCUUUAGGCUUCGGCUUGGCUUUUGAAACGGUUGCCUUCUUAUCCUUGCUAGCAGCAGCCUUGGGCUUCGCCUUCGGCUUCGCCGCAGGAACCGACUUCUUCUUAGCCGGCGAAGCAACUGCAACAGCAGGCUUGGAAGACCGAGCAGAUGGCAGCUUGAACGAACUCUUGACCUUGACAAGCUUACCAUUGGCGACCAGCUUCUUCAAC